rnacentral:tRNA from 1 species
GGGGAUUUAGCUUAAUGGCAUAAGCACCUGCCUGCCAAGCAUGAGGUUAUGAGUUCGAUCCUAAGUACCA